rnacentral:lncRNA from 1 species
CUUUGGUGACAUAGGUAGCCAAAUCAAUUCUCUUAAGCCUUUUCACAUAUCACAACUCGGGAUGUUACAAUUCACCCCCUCUCAAAGAAUGCAACGUCCUCGUUGCGCCCACGACAGGUCUCAAGACGCCUCUCGGGUCAGAACCGAGAUGGCUAACCAGCUCUGAUACCACUGAUAACGCCCCGACCCGCCCACGGCUAAUGGGCCACCCACGCCCGCUCUCUCGGCCCGUGGGCCCCAUCCCGUCUGACGGUCGGUCCGUUAAUUUUCCAAAGGCUCGAAAUCAUUGUUUACUGACCCUGCAAUCACCACCCGACCUUUCCCCAUGCUUUGGCCUCACUCGCACGCUAUCGCGAAUCACUUCCCGAUAGGUCACCCAUCCUUCCACUACUCCAGGUCAAGCACGCUUAACUCUGGAGUUCUUUCAGGAUGUGUUCCGAAAAAGGUUAAGUCAACUUUGGUGACAUAGGUAGCCAAAUCAAUUCUCUUAAGCCUUUUCACAUAUCACAACUCGGGAUGUUACAAUUCACCCCCUCUCAAAGAACGCAACGUCCUCGUUGCGCCCCACGACAGGUCUCAAGACGCCUCUCGGGUCAGAACCGAGAUGGCUAACCAGCUCUGAUACCACUUAUAACGCCCCGACCCGCCCACGGCUAAUGGGCCACCCACGCCCGCUCUCUCGGCCCGUGGGCCCCAUCCCGUCUGACGGUCGGUCCGUUAAUUUUCCAAAGGCUCGAAAUCAUUGUUUACUGACCCUGCAAUCACCACCCGACCUUUCCCCAUGCUUUGGCCUCACUCGCACGCUAUCGCGAAUCACUUCCCGAUAGGUCACCCAUCCUUCCACUACUCCAG